GGAAGAGUAGCUCCGGGCCUUUAAGGAGCAGAAGCCAAGUGAUCCUGGGGCCAGAGCCAGGGCCCCAAGGCUACUGAGACCUCAGCGGUCACUGCGACAAUGGCUGAGAAGGGGCAGCAUCCUCAUCUGCAGCUUGGACAGAGGACUUGGCAUUCCAGGAGCAUCUACUGAGGUUCAAACUUCCACUUGUGCCCCUCCUGCUCUGAUGUGGGAAGCCAUGUACCCUAGCGAGGCUUGCUGCACCACAGUGAGGACGCUGUCCUGUUACUGUGCUUCAGAUGGGGGCUCACCCUCCAAGUUCCUCCAGAGGCUGGCACCCCUCCCAAGGGUGACAGUGAGGGUGACCAACAGAUAAUGUGUAUGAAAGGACCAGAACGGCACCUGAAUGCUAACACACAGAUAUUAAGGGGACCUUUAACGAGGUAGAGAUGCUGACAGAAACCAACCCUGGGGAGAAGACGUUCCCUGUAUUUCUUUUCACCUUUAUAGGGCAGCGAGGGCCACAUAACUGAUGACUGUUUCCAUGAAGCUGAGAAACAAGUUUGGAUUCCCCAGCAUGAAUCUCCUCCCAGACACUGCUGCUCCCAUUAGCUGACUUUCUCAGCCUGAAGAUGUGAUGUUCCACUGGACCUCAGGCAAGGCCCCAAAUGCCAAGGCGCUGACUUGGAGAUGACUGGGGAGCAGGGACUGAGAAAGGACAAAUGCUCAGGGCUGUGCGGAGUCCCUGAAACUCAUAGAAUUCACUUUUGGCUUAUGUAUCCUGGCCUCCAAAUAUUUGGAUUCUCUGAAGACAUGGAUUUUGUGGCUAGGUCUUCACCUGCAGCUGAGUGAGUCCCAGAGACUGAGCCAAGUCCAACCUAG
rnacentral:lncRNA from 10 species